GUUAACUUCAAAUUAAGUAGAAAUACCUACUAAACUUAA
rnacentral:rRNA from 2 species